rnacentral:rRNA from 1 species
UACGGAGAGGGCAAGCGUUGUUCGGAUUUACUGGGCAUAAAGCGCACGUAGGCGGAUCCGCAAGUCGAUUGUGAAAUCCCGGGGCUCAACCCCGGAACUGCGGUCGAUACUAUGGGUCUGGAGGACGAAAGGGGAGAGUGGAACUUCUGGUGGAGCGGUGAAAUGCGUAGAUAUCAGAAGGAACACCGGUGGCGAAAGCGACUCUCUGGUUCGUUUCUGACGCUGAGGUGCGAAAGCUAGGGGAGCAAACGGG